rnacentral:rRNA from 1 species
AGAGUUUGAUCCUGGCUCAGAACGAACGCUGGCGGCAGGCUUAACACAUGCAAGUCGAACGAUCCCUUCGGGGAUAGUGGCAGACGGGUGAGUAACACGUGGGAAUCUACCUAGUUCUACGGAAUAACGCAGGGAAACUUGUGCUAAUACCGUAUACGCCCUAAGGGGGAAAGAUUUAUCGGAAUUAGAUGAGCCCGCGUAAGAUUAGCUAGUUGGUGGGGUAAUGGCCUACCAAGGCGACGAUCUUUAGCUGGUCUGAGAGGAUGAUCAGCCACACUGGGACUGAGACACGGCCCAGACUCCUACGGGAGGCAGCAGUGGGGAAUAUUGGACAAUGGGCGAAAGCCUGAUCCAGCCAUGCCGCGUGAGUGAUGAAGGCCUUAGGGUUGUAAAGCUCUUUCAGUAGGGAAGAUAAUGACGGUACCUACAGAAGAG